AUGCAAGUCGAGCGAUUCUCUUCGGAGAAGAGCGGCGGACGGGUGAGUAACGCGUGGGUAACCUGCCCUGUACACACGGAUAACAUACCGAAAGGUAUGCUAAUACGAGAUAAUAUACUUUUAUCGCAUGGUAGAAAUAUCAAAGCUUUUGCGGUACAGGAUGGACCCGCGUCUGAUUAGCUAGUUGGUAAGGUAACGGCUUACCAAGGCGACGAUCAGUAGCCGACCUGAGAGGGUGAUCGGCCACAUUGGAACUGAGACACGGUCCAAACUCCUACGGGAGGCAGCAGCGGGGAAUAUUGCACAAUGGGCGAAAGCCUGAUGCAGCAACGCCGCGUGAGCGAUGAAGGCCUUCGGGUCGUAAAGCUCUGUCCUCAAGGAAGAUAAUGACGGUACUUGAGGAGGAAGCCCCGGCUAACUACGUGCCAGCAGCCGCGGUAAUACGUAGGGGGCUAGCGUUAUCCGGAAUUACUGGGCGUAAAGGGUGCGUGGGUGGUUUCUUAAGUCAGAGGUGAAAGGCUACGGCUCAACCGUAGUAAGCCUUUGAAACUGGGAAACUUGAGUGCAGGAGAGGAGAGUGGAAUUCCUAGUGUAGCGGUGAAAUGCGUAGAUAU
rnacentral:rRNA from 1 species